GUCAACUUGAUAUUUGCUUUGUCCCUUUCUGAAAGAAGCACUUGUAUCUGCUUGUCUUCAAAUACCUGCAGGUCAUCUAAGAGGAAGUCCGCGGUGUUUUUCCUUUUGGAGGACCUGGUCAUUUGUUUACAUACAAUCUCUUUAAACCUUCACGGCUGCCGGUGGAGGGUGGAGAAUUCAUGAUUGUUCAUGCACUUCCUGGGCUUCACGCUCCAUUUAGGACAGGUCAGCAGUGACCCAGGUGAGCCUGGUCAAGUGCCAGUUCCACUGGUCACAGUGAGAGUGCCAUUUCGCCUCCACCACUCUAAUGUGGUAGCGGCAGUUGAACUUGCUGUUAAGUCCUACAGUCCUCUUGGGUAGUUAGACUAACUAUAGCCUUCAGAGGUAGCCAGUGGUGGAAGAGUGGGUAAUGGCUGUAAGGGUGUGGCAGAGGGAGCCUAAAGCUAGUUGACCAUACACGGAGCUGACAACACUGCCAGGCCACCCACUCAAAAGCUGGGUGAGUUUAUUUACAGAGCUUGUCACUGCCUCGAAGCUUCACUUUGGUCACCUCUACUAUCAAGGGAGAAAAACCAUUCCUCGGGCUUUUCUUAAAGGAGGGUUAAACCUGAGUGCCUGCAGCAGCCCCUCCUGCAAUGCAUCCUGGGAUCUGCAGGGAAAAGCAAGACAUUCUGGCAGAAUCAGCCCUCCCCUCAGAGACCGGCAGCGCCCCUCAGCCAGAAACCCCAGAAUUUCAAAAUGGCAGCUGCAGCUUUGUCCGUGUCAAAUGGUACCGGAGCUUCUUUGCAUCUUUGCUGUGGGUCAUAAAUGCAGCCUUUGGAGCAACUGUCCACUGCAAUAGCUCCUCGGGAAGAAAUAGGACCUCGAGAUCAUCUACCCCAUCUAUGACAGAAUUUUGUCUAGCCUCGUGUUGUACAGAUCUUGUGCAGUUCAGAUCAUGUGGACCUGGCUGUAGAUUGCACAUUCUGGUAAGUAACUCAAGUAGCCUCUUUUUGUACUUUCCUUUACAAUGAGUAGGGCUCCGAUGUAUAAUUUCUACUUUAGAUGCAAAGACAAAUGCCACAAUAGAGUAUGAUACCUCCCCUAGGAACAGGUAUCAGAGAGACUCAGUGAUCGGAGUACAGAGGCUAGGAAAGGCUUGCUUUCUCACUGACCAUACAUGUCUGUCAAUGUCUGCACACACGUAAGCUGAGAGCUGCGGGUCACCCUUAGACAGGAAAAAGAAAACAGCCAAAAGGAAGAGAACUUGUGUCUACGCACUAAAAAACCCUAGGGACAGGUAAUGGCUGGUCUAGGUCAUCAGCUUCAAGCGUCAUGAGGCUAAAUUGAAUCUUUAAAUAGAGGGGAGAGGCUAAGACAUUCUGUGCACACAGGUUAGCUGUUACAAUAGCACAGAAUGGGUGGAAGGUGAGGAGCCCAAAAACCUUCCAAAAAAGGCAAUCUGAACUGCAAAGCAGGACGAGACAACCCAAGAACCUCCCUUGAAACCACUGGAGGUCCUGUAAGGAAGUUCCUUUCUCAUAGGCAUUAAAAGACCAGGAUUUUCUGGAGUGGGGGUAGGGUGUGUGUGUGUGUGUGUGUGUGUGUGUGUGUGUGUGUGUGUGUCUGUGUGUGUCUGUGUCUGUGUCUGUGUCUGUGUCUGUGUCUGUGUCUGUGUGUCUGCAUACAUGUUGGCAUGUGAGAUGUGAGGGUACAUGUUCAUGCACACAUGUUCUAUGCUAUGCACAAAUGUGACUCAGCCCCAGGUAACCAAGGCUGAACCUCAACUGAAGAGGAAAAUAAAAAGGUGACAAGAAUGAUGAAGUAAGGACACAAACACAGAGUAACUUCUAAAGUUCUGACCGCCAAGUCAAUGUGUGCUUGGACUUCACAUUGUGUUUAAUUUAAGAAGCCCAUUUUUGUGCUUGUGCUUUCAAACAUGUUUUCUACUUUCCUAAAUAAUCUUUUCCCAUAUCGCCACCACUCGUGGCUGUGAACCAACAAGAACAGGAUGUUUCUGCAGCUGGGCAGCAUGGGUGGCUGUGGCCAGGUCACUGUAGGCAAAAAGAAAGAGGAGAUGAACACCGGGCUCAUCCUAGAUAUAGGAGAACAAGGUCGUGAGUGGCACUGGAGACACACAGGAAUCUACAAGCUGAAAGAUUGGCUUCAUAACACAGGGAACUCUGUAAAGAAGGAACUUGUGGAGCCUCUACAUGAGAUCAUGAAGCAUUUCAAGAUGGCAGCAGUAUACUACUGUUCGUCAGGGUUUGCUGAGUGCAGGGUCCAAUCUAACACAGGCCACAAACCCAGAAACCCAGCCCCAAACAAGCUAAUGCUUUGGACAGCAUUCUUCUGAAAUAUGAAGCAGCUAUCUGCUGCUUGAACUUGCUUUCCUCGUCAUAAAGCCAGAGUGCUACCUUUUGCUAGGAAUAUGGAAAUUAUAUCCCCCCCACCAGUGUGAGUGAGUGUGUGUGUGUGUGUGUGUGUGUGUGUGUGUGUAAGUAUGUGCUGUCAUUCUUUAGACAUUAUCUACCUCGUUUUACAUUUUGGUUGUUGUUAUUGAUUUUUGUUUUUUGAGCAGGGUCUGUCACUGGCCUGGAAAUUGUAACAUAGGGUAACCUGGUUGGCUAGCGCAUACCAGGGAUCUGCCUGCCUCUACCUCUCCUAUGUUGGGAUUUUAUUCGUAAGCACCACCACACCUAUCUUUUUAUGUGGGCUUUGGGAAUUGAACUCAGGUCCUCAUGCUUGCAAGGAAAGCACAUGGCUGAAUGCAUCAGCCCUGGGAAUAUGAAUAUAUAUAUAUAUAAUACAUACAUGUGUGUGUGUGUGUGUGUGUGUGUGUGUACAUAUAUACAUAUUUCACAGAAAAGGUUUAACAGGACUGAGGAUAAAGUUUAGUGGUAGAGUUGCUGCCUAGGACUUUUUAAGGCACAGGGUUGGAAUCAUAGCAGGAAAAAAAUAAAACAACCACAACAUCAACAAGUUGAAACCAAGUUUUCACACCCAUAGCUGAGCAUGGCCUAUAAUGCCUCCAAUCCCAAUGGCUAGAAUCACAAGCGUAUGAUACCACUGGUAGCUUAUAGUAACUAUAAUUUAAUAACUUAAUUAUUUAAACUUCAAGUAUGACUGUGAACCAGACAUGUGUCUGUGAUCCAGGGAAUCCAGAAGUCAGAAGAGGGGGUCAGAUCCCUGGGGACAGCAGUUAUAAUUGAGUCACCAUGUGGGCACUAGGAAUCAAACCCAGGCCUUCUGGAAAAGCAGCCAGUGCUCUUAGCUACUGAGCUAUCUCUCCAACCCAGAUAUCUAUAUUCCGAAGUGUUGUUUUUUAUUUGUUUUGAGGUACUGAGGACUAAACCCAGGACUUUGUACAUGCUAAGUAUAUGUCCUACGGAUGGGCUCCUCCUGAGCCCUAUACAAAAGCCUUAAGCACAGUAAGUUGGAGGAUUUAUAGACCUAAGAUACAACUAUAUAUCUUUAUUUCUAGCCUGUCUACAAAGCCAGUCUGAAGACCUUAGCAUGCUAGAGAAACCUAGCAUUUAAAUGAGGCCAUUUCUAAGGCAACUGCUCUAAGUCCCGACCACAUUACUGGGGUUGCUGUAUGAUCUUAGCUUAGUGGGUUAGUUAAUUUCUCUAUACCUCCUCCAUCUACAAAGUGAGGGAAAUAACAGGCUUCCUUAGCAGGUCUUCUGGGAUACAGCAGGGAGAACUCCCAGUAUACAGCAGACAGUCAGAAAAUGCAGGCUCUUAACACUGCUGUUAUUAUGGCCAUGCUCACAAGCAGUCUCAUUCUCCAGCCUGUUACCUACCUUCCUUUCAACAACAUUUCCUGCCACUCUCUUUCCUCCCAUGCAAGUCCCUUGCCAAACCAAAAUUACUACUCACUGCCCUCUGCAAGACUCAAAAGAUUCUACAUUUUUCAACCGGCUGCCCUGGCUAUUUGGAGACUGAGUAACCACUUGGAGGGGAUGUUGUAGAGGCAAACUCAAGCUGCAGAAAUUCCUUCGGAUCAAUGAAGGGGACAGGGCAAUUAGCAAUGCUGCACAUGCCUGGGGUGGAGGGGGUGGGGUGUGGGGAGCUCUUGGUUUCCUCUGUGCACACCGGUUUUCUUCUACUCAUUUUUUUCUCACACUGGCCGAGGGAGCCCUUUGUUCCAUCGUACUGGAGCCACAAUGUGGAGCUGCCAUGGGUGAGAAUGCUAGACAAUGCUAGAGAAAGAUCUCUUUCAGCGAACCUAGUGGCGGGAGUCGAAGGAAGGACAUAGACUUAUAACAGAGGAAUGUUUACUUUAGCUUAAAUUUUCUGAGCCUCAGUUUCUUUUGGAGUAAAAUGAGGAAGUCAGAAACCAGUGCUUAGGAUGAGAAUUGAAUCCUAUUUUAUAUGCAAAGGCUUCAGUGAGGUACAAAAGCUAGCAAGGACUUGAUUUUGAAGAUCCCUUCCCUCCUUUGUCCUUUCAUCUUCUGUUACCAAGGGACUCUAGGCUGUUCACGGGGAUUAAGCUUCUCCCUGUACAAGGGGGGAGGGGUAACUGUAAAGGAGGGUUUGAAGGGAAGGUGGCAAUUGGAGGAACCCCAGGGGAGUGUGGGCUGCAUGCAGGUGGAGCAGAUGGUCCUGAACUCGGAUAAAAAAGAGUGGGAUUUGAACAAGCAAAGAGCUGAGAGCCCUCUACCUUCCCUGUCCCCAGGCUCCUCCUCUUUUUCCUUCUUAUUACUGCUCUGGCCAAAACUAAAAAGUUAAAGAUCAUAGGACCAUUUUCAUGAGCUCAGACUUCUAUGGGCUGUCACUCCAUCAUUGGAAAUGGACACGACUUUGGCCCAGGCCCACACUGGAAAGCAAAAGAAAACAAAGCGCCUGCUCAUGCCACUUCCUGGUUCUGUGGGGCAUGAGCUUCGACAGGGAGGGGCCACUUUGUUGGGUUUCUCCCAGGGUGCCAUGGCCUGUGAGCUGAGAGAGGCAAGGCGGUUGUGAGGUGGGCUCUUCGCUUGCCUUUCACUGAAAGGCCCCAAGAACAGAAUCCACCAUGCAGCUGAAGGGACCAGGGCCUCUGAAAGCAACCUUUUUUUUUUUUUUUUUUUUUUUUUGCCUCUUCACAUCCUUGUCUUUGUCACUUAAUUGGAAUUGAAAACUCCCACCUCAGUGGUUUUUGUGCCCAGUAUAUGCUAAUCUACUUAUAAAUGCUUCCUUCCCUGAAGCAGCAAUUAUCCCUGACAUCUGGAAUAUUAAUGCUAAGUAGAUUCAACUGUCUGAGAUGUAAACCGGUUAUUGGAGUCAUCUGUUAAGGAACUGAUUUCAAGUACUGAGACUCAACUGAAGCAGUGUGAUCGUGGUUAAUUGAGCAAAUACUAUCUUCUAGGUGUCAAGAAAUAUACUGGUUUAUUACCCAGGCUGGCCACAAACUCCACUCUGGAUGACCUUGAAUUCCUAAUCCUCUUGUCUCUGCAUCCUGAGUGCUUGCAUUGCAAGCAUGUCGUACUAUUUUAUGUCACACUAGAGAUGGAACGUAGGCCUUGGUGUAGUCUAGGCACGUGCUCUGCCAAGUGCCACAAAAUACCUAAUUUUUGCUAAUAAUUCAUUAGAGAAAUAAUAUAUUCACAUAUUAAUUAUGUAGAAAUAUACAAAGAAAUAUAUACAUUUCCCUUUAUAGAGACACAAUGACAAAUUACUUGAGGUUUUUGCUAAUGGCAAAUGCGAAAACAUUUAUUCUUUUCUUCUCAACUUUCUAUUUUAAAUAAGAACAGGGCAAAAUGCUCGCUUUUGGAAGUUUGGUCCCAAGAACUUGAUCUUUCCACAAUUCCUACCACUACUUAACACCAAUUGUCCACUUUCCAGAGAGGAGUUAAACGAAUAAUGGACAAGAGAAGCCCAACACUUUGACAGUCCCUUUUAUUUGCAUUUCAUUCUAUCUCUAUCACCCUCAGUUCCCCGGGCAAGUUGCUUCCUCUCUUACAGCCUGCCUGUUCUUUUUCAGUCAGCAGCUAAAAUAAUCUGCCUGCUACAUUGUUAUGAAAGUAGAAAACUCUAGAUGUUUACAGAGUCCACUCUUCAAUCUCCUCUGGCCGCAUAACUUCUGUAAAGGCUCAUCUUUCCUAAGGCAAACAGGCAACCAGGGUCAAGGCUAUGGCAUUCCUUUGACGUAGGAAGACACAGAGGCAGGGACAGCUGAGUGAAGGGACAUGGAAUCCAAUGACCCACCAAAAUGGUGUCAGUGUAACUGCAGAGGCCAAGCAGAAGAGGUCAGGAAUGCAUCCCGCAAGAUCCGUUCUGUGUUUCAACAAUGCAGUAAACUCCCUUCUAGUGAACACGGGGAGAGAGGGGAUGUGUUACCCGAGAGGUGACAUCUAAUGCACGCUCAAACAGGUCCAGGGCCCAUGCAAAGGGCAGAAAGGCGGUCUCCCAAGUAGAGCAUUAACUGGGAAACCACAUGGGUCACCUGCUCCUGCCUACCCCCAUCUCCUUCCUCCUAAGUAAAAAGAGAAGUAGAUGAAGAAAUGGGGAAGUCCAAGCUG